UAGGAAAAUGGAUUACUGUUUGUCCCCAAGGGCCAGGCUCAAAAUGCUUAAGCUCAAAUGUUCUCUGACCCUAACAUGGCUACGGACAUGAUGAAGAAAAACCUCUCUAUGAUUAUACCUCAGAAUCUCACUUUUGCCUGGGUCAACUUUUUCUUCUCUGGAUUUGUUGCAGCCAAAAUACCUUUCCCAUUAACUCAGAGGUUCAGAUCAAUGUUGCAGAAUGGAAUUGACCUUAGCACAGUUGAUGUGAGCUAUGUCAGUAGCCGCUCAUGGUAUUUU